AGAACAUGGGGUAAUAGACGAGCAAACAAGUUCAAGUGAAAUACUGUGUGGAGCUAGAAUGUGUGUUGAGUGUGCUUUUGGCAGGCUUGAAGCUCAGCGGAAGAAAAAUGAUCACAAUAUCAACAAUUGGAAGACCAUCGUAGCAGCUUGCUGUAUCGAGCAUAAUAUAUGCGAGAGCAGACGGGGAAGCAUUUGAGGCACAUAUUCUGGAGAACAGAGCUCUCGUCGUUGGAAGGAGAGGAGGACCAAAGCGCAGCGUGCCGCAGGACUCUACAAUCAUGUCAGGGACGUCGGUCUUGACAAUGCUGUGCUGUGAGUUGAAGUAGACCAUAGACAGAGGCCUGCGCUGGAUGGGCACACAGCAGGAAGACACUGCUGUGUUGAUGCCAUUGGCUUUGAGCUGGCUGAAGACUGUAGCGUGGAAGGAAGACGCGAUGCCUGGAGACCCAGCCAGGGCCUGGGGACACUGGCCCAUACAGUAAUUCAUGUGGUACCCUUCUGGAGCUAUGAUCCAGUCCUGCCACUGGAUAUCCUUGAACUUGACGUAGAAGUCCUUCUUGCAGCAGACUGUAACAUCAUCUCCGCACUGCAGGGACCUCUUCUGGAGGACGUGUUUGUGGUCCUCGCGGAGCCGCACCUGGGCCACCAUGAAAGGCUGGUGGGCCAUGUCCAUGGUCUUACCCAGCUCACACAGGUUCUGGCUAACGCCAUUCUCCCCGGCUACCCCAGUCUCUGUGCAGGUGACUUCCAGCUGUAGCAGCCGCUGGCCCCCGUCCAUGAACGCUUGCAGGGUGUGUGUAAUGGGGAAGGUGUACCAGUUGCUCUUCUGCACAUCCAGGAUCUUCUCUAGGAGGAGGGUGCGGUUAGAGCAGCUUUCCCCAGGCCCGGAGAGGUAGAUGUGGGCUGUGACGGUGGGGCGGGGCCCCGAGUUAGGGGCGUCAGAGGAGCGGACGUACAGCCACAGGGCUGACUGGAGCACCUGAAUGCUGUGGCCUUGCUCCUGCAGGAACUGGAAGGUGAGGCGUGGCUGAGCACCAGUAGUGUCCAUCUCAUCUAGAUCACAGAGAGAAGAUACAGAGUGUGAGGAUUGGUUUGUCAUUUUAUCACAAUAAACAGUAUACCUGUAGGUGUAUAUAUAAUUUAUAAACUGUAAACCACGUGUCAAACUCAUUCCAUGGAGGGCUGAGUGUCUGGGGUUUUCGCUCCUCCCUUGUACUUGAUUGAUGAAUUAAGGUCACUAAUUAGUAAGGAACUCCUCACACCUGGUUGUCUAGGGCUUAAUUGAAAGGAAAAAACAAAAGCCUGCAGACACUCAGCCAUCCGUAGAAUGAGUUUGACAGCCCUGCUGUAACCCUAUACCAGUCUUUCAGGGUAGUUCUAAGUGAUGGCAAUAUUUUUCAUAUAAGUUCACAUCACAAAGUUACAGCAUGUUAUUUAUUUAAGCAAAGAUACAAUCUCAAAAUCUGUAACAUAUCACACUAAUUGAAGUGUCCUGGAUUUACCUUACUAUGUUACGUCAUCCAGGUUCAAAAUUGAAAUCAAAUCAUGAAUAGUUUCAAUUGGAAUGUGGUCAAAUAGAAUGACAUGAGCUAUAGCCCGAGGUACAGAUGUCGGAUCUUAAUAUUUCAUCGCAAGAGGAAAAUAAUCCUGGAGGAUUUUAAUGAAGAUUUAAUAUUUAGAAUUGCCACCAGGGGGCAGCUGGAAGCAGUGUUUGGAGCCAAUACAAGAACUUAGACCGCAGGUUCACUGGGUGUCAGUUUAAGUAGCCUAUGUAGGCUACGUGCAGGCUACAGCAGGUCUCAUGUGAAUUCUUAUGUGGAAUAUAAUAAAUUGCCAAUGUUUGUAGGGGGAAGAUGUAUUUUUCAUUAGGGAAAAUCUGUUUUUUUAGAUAAAUUGUUUUAUUACAUAUUGAAGGCAAGCAAUAAGCGAAAUAAAUUCAUGGUUAUCUCAGGUCCAGCGGGUACAGCCACUGACAAUGGCACACAUAUGCCAGAAUAGGCAUGGCUUCAAAUCUGGCCCACUACUGCCCUUUAAAUUUAAGGAACUAGUACUUUUCAAGUUACUCUCUGUAGGCUGUACUUUGACUCAAGUAAUUUCUGAAUGAAGCAACUUACUUUUCACUCUGUUACAUUAUUUAUACCAAAUAACUUCAGUUACAUAGAUUUAUAUUACUAUAUCGUCACUGUCAUAUGUAUUAUAGAUUUCUGGAGUAUGAUAAGUAUUUAUAAGAUAUAUUUCUGCUGUUGAAAUUGUGUUUCGAGGACUAGAUAACUAUCUUUGGCUAAUCCACAAUCUGACAAAGUUCAAUCACCUGUUUUUAGCUCCCCAUAUGAUCUGUUUGUUGGCCAACUAGCCAACUUGUCAUUGGCAUAAAGAGUGAACAGAUUAAUCGGAUGUGUGUGGCAAUAGAUAACUAGCUAUCACAUUAGGUUGCCAAGGUGGCUAAGAUAGCUAGCUGCAGUGUCAACCAUGUAGCUAGCUAAUGUAAACUAGAUCAACGGGUCAGCUUUUUGUGCCAUAUACUAGAAAUCUACUUUUAACUUAAAAUGAAUUCCAUGGUGAAAUGUGUUUGAUUUGCAUAUUAGUAACAUGAUUGAAAGUGACAUUUCGGUAUUGAUUGUUUGACUGCUGUAACACGUGUAACAAUUAAACAUCACACUUGGUGUAAAUCA